GGGUUCAGUUUCAUUCUGAUGCCUGCCAAAGGUUCACGAUGUCCUUGAGCAGUCCAAUGUUGAAGCCUCUCCGGAUCAGCUGUGAUGACACUGCCGUCAGUCUGUCCACAGUCCUCAGAGAAACCAAGUGGAAGUAGCAACUGAAGAACAAUCUCUAUGAGAGUGACCUGUGGCUAUGACUGUCAGACGUUAAAAUUUACUGACUGGUAAUGGAGGACUCAACCAUCUGUGGGAUGUGCCACUCCCAGGUGUAUUUUACAUGCAUGUGUGUCUAUGUAGCACUUGCAUUCCUGAUUUGCCUGGAGACCAGAAAAGGAUAACUGAAUAUAAGCCUGAGACCUUGCCGAGCUGAAGAGAUGGCUCAGCAGUUAAGAGCACUGACUUCUAGAACUUCCAGAGGUCCUGAGUUCAAUUCCCAGGAACCCCAUGGUGGCUCAAAACCAUCUGUAAUGGGAUCUGAUGCCCUCUUCUGGUGUCUGAAGACAACUCCAGUGUACUCAUAUAAAUGAAAUAAAUUAAUAAAUCUUUCUUAAAAAGAAAAAAAAAAAAGGCAUGCAAAAGAAGCAGAGGAGUGGUGCUUGUGUGCCCAGGCUUUAAAAACAAAAAAAAAAAAAAAACAAAAAAAAAAAAAAAAGAAUGAAUUCAAAUACAAAAAAGGGGACAGUAACAGGGCAGUGGAGAAAAAGAAAGAACAAAUGGAUGAAUUAAAAGAAAGAAGAGUAUUAGCAGUAGUGAAUCAAACACAAAUGCCUUGAUCGAGCCAGGAUUAAGGAGUGGGGUUGUAGGUGAAUGGCAGUGUGAUUGGCUACAUACGUGAGCCAGUCAGUUUGAUACUCUGUACUGAAGCAAAGAAAGAAAAUAAUAGAGACAGAAUUACAAUAAAGUCUUGGUUACACAUGAAUAACUAGACCGUGAAUAGUACAUUGGAACACACAUUUAUUCCACAAAAUAUGACAUCUUUAUUCAACUGACUUUGGAAAGUUGUAAAAAGUGAUAUUUGAUAGUCAUUCAGAAAAUAUAGUUAUUUAAGUAUUUUGAAAGAGGAAUUUUAUUUUGAAAUGUAUGCAAUCAGGGGGAAAGAAAAAUUUAAAUGGCCAAUGGCAUUUAUUUGUGAAACUUUACUGUAUGGGUAUUAUUUAAAAUAAGAUUCUAGGAAGUGAAUGAAGAAGAUUUGGGAAAUGCAGGUGUGAGCUAAGCUGUUAAUGACUAAAUAUUGUUAUGGCAUGAAACUUUGGUAUGGGUUUUAUUUCUAUUUAAAUUCCGAUUCUGCUUCUUUAUGUGCAUAAGUAGGAUAAAAUUGAUAUUAUUUAAUUAGUGGGGAAGUAGGGAUGAGAUAUGCAAGAACAGAAAAAAAAUGUCAGGAGACAUUCCAGAACCUUAGGCACUAAAUAUGGUAGGAGAGAAUGGAGUCACUAUCUACCAUUGCCUUCCAGUG
rnacentral:lncRNA from 1 species